AUGAACGCUGGCGGCGUGCCUAAUACAUGCAAGUCGAGCGAACAGACGAGGAGCUUGCUCCUCUGACGUUAGCGGCGGACGGGUGAGUAACACGUGGAUAACCUACCUAUAAGACUGGGAUAACUUCGGGAAACCGGAGCUAAUACCGGAUAAUAUAUUGAACCGCAUGGUUCAAUAGUGAAAGACGGUUUUGCUGUCACUUAUAGAUGGAUCCGCGCCGUAUUAGCUAGUUGGUAAGGUAACGGCUUACCAAGGCGACGAUACGUAGCCG
rnacentral:rRNA from 1 species